rnacentral:rRNA from 1 species
CGAGUCUUAACUGGGCGAAUGAGUUGCAGGGUAUAGACCCGAAACCCGGUGAUCUAGCCAUGGGCAGGUUGAAGGUUGGGUAACACUAACUGGAGGACCGAACCGACUAAUGUUGAAAAAUUAGCGGAUGACUUGUGGCUGGGGGUGAAAGGCCAAUCAAACCGGGAGAUAGCUGGUUCUCCCCGAAAGCUAUUUAGGUAGCGCCUCGUGAACUCAUCUUCGGGGGUAGAGCACUGUUUCGACUAGGGGGUCAUCCCGACUUACCAACUCGAUGCAAACUACGAAUACCGAAGAAUGUUAUCACGGGAGACACACGGCGGGUGCUAACGUUCGUCGUGAAGAGGGAAACAACCCAGACCGCCAGCUAAGGUCCCAAAGUCAUAGUUAAGUGGGAAACGAAGUGGGAAGGCUCAGACAGCCAGGAUGUUGGCUUAGAAGCAGCCAUCAUUUAAAGAAAGCGUAAUAGCUCACUGGUCGAGUCGGCCUGCGCGGAAGAUGUAACGGGGCUAAACUAUGCACCGAAGCUGCGGCAGCGAUAUGUAAAUAUUGUUGGGUAGGGGAGCGUUCUGUAAGCCUGUGAAGGUGUACUGUGAGGUAUGCUGGAGGUAUCAGAAGUGCGAAUGCUGACAUAAGUAACGAUAAUGCGGGUGAAAAACCCGCACGCCGGAAGACCAAGGGUUCCUGUCCAACGUUAAUCGGGGCAGGGUGAGUCGACCCCUAAGGCGAGGCAGAAAUGCGUAGUCGAUGGGAAACGGGUUAAUAUUCCCGUACUGGUGAUAAUUGCGAUGGGGGGACGGAGAAGGCUAGGCUGGCCGGGCGACGGUUGUCCCGGUUUAAGGAUGUAGGCAGGUGAAUUAGGCAAAUCCGGUUCACUAUAUGCUGAGGUCUGAUGACGAGUCACUACGGUGGCGAAGUAGCUCAUGCCCCGCUUCCAGGAAAAG